GGGUAGUUAGCUCAGCGGAAGAGUACUCGCUCCACAUGCGAGUGAUCGCAGGUUCAAAUCCUGCACUACCCA
rnacentral:tRNA from 1 species